AGCUAGCUACCUAAUUUACCGGUUGCGCAGUCCCAAUUCCACCUUCUCCUCCAGCUGGUCCACAUUAAUGGUCUCUCAGCUCCCUUCUUCUUAGCAGUCGACUUGAUGUCGGACCACUUCUUUUUUUAAGGCGUCACUGUCCUUUGCCAUAACCCCGACAGCAUUGACAGACUCGGCCACUCGCCCAUCCUCUCUCUUUUUUUUGUCUGCAUUGACCCCGCAGUUAUCAAGUCUCCCCAACAGCAACCUUUUCCUGGCUGCUAUUUCCUCCACCAUCACUCCAAGCUCUUGUUUGCUGAAAAUUUUAUUUUGAUGUACAGUAGCUAACGCUAGUCUUCCUAUAAUGUGUGAAAAAUAACGUUUUUUGUAUGCGUGUAUAAAGGGUUCGCGAGCUGGAGACAUAAAGCAAAAAAAAAUCUGGAGAUAUAAAGCAAAAAAAAAGUAAUUAAAUGUAAACAUCAACACUUAUAGUGGGCCAAAUCCUAUCAUUCAUGUCACAUAGGCUUAUUUAUUAGUUUCAAGCACGUCACUAAUGUCAAUGCCACAUAAGACGAUAUUUACGAAGUUCUUAAGAAAUAUAUUUACGAAGUUUCUAAGAAAACGACGAAUUCCCAAGAACAUCGAGGAAUCGCAUUUACGAACUAUCUUAUGAACUUCUUAUUUUUUUUGUUUUCAGCAGCUUCUUAAUUUUUUUCGUAAGUAAUGUUUUGUGAAUCCGGCCCCUGGUCCAUAAAGGUGUUGCUGGAAAGAGUAGAUUGAGAACCUUACCUCCGUAUUAUUGGCAAACGAGAGAUGUCCGUUUCCACUAACACCUGGUGCCAGGCAGCCCAUCACCACAGAGGCCACAAAGAGAAGUCCUCUGUCCAUUCCUACAUGGGAACAUGGAGGCAGGGCGUGGAUUACCGGUAAAGGUGUGUUACCACGCAAUGGAAUAAUACUGUAUUUAAGUCCCCUGCUAUUCCCUGAUUUUAAGAGGUGAUGACCAGUCCACUCUACUACCAUUGUCAACUCUGUCCUGACAUGAACUGAAGCAACGUCUCAUGUGCCCGCUAAUCCACUGGCACGUUGCAUGUUUCCUCUCCAAGCACUGCAAAUCCUGCAUUGAAGUCAAGCCUGUGAACAACUCAACUCAUGCCUCAUACCCUCAUUCAAUCAUUGCUGUGAUCCCUUCCAAACACUGUGUAGCUAGCCCUCUCAUUCCCAAUCCCCAUAAUAUUGUACUAUACAUAUUUUUAUUAAAUGCUUUAGGU